CCGGCGCACGGGUGAGUAACGCGUAUGCAACUUACUAUCAGGAGGGGGAUAACCCGGCGAAAGUCGGACUAAUACCGCAUGAAGCAGGGGUCCCGCAUGGGGAUAUUUGCUAAAGAUUCAUCGCUGAUAGAUAGGCAUGCGUUCCAUUAGGCAGUUGGCGGGGUAACGGCCCACCAAACCGACGAUGGAUAGGGGUUCUGAGAGGAAGGUCCCCCACAUUGGUACUGAGACACGGACCAA
rnacentral:rRNA from 1 species